rnacentral:rRNA from 1 species
GACGAACGCUGGCGGCGUGCCUAAUACAUGCAAGUUGAGCGCUGAAGGUUGGUACUUGUACCAACUGGAUGAGCAGCGAACGGGUGAGUAACGCGUGGGGAAUCUGCCUUUGAGCAGGGGACAACAUUUGGAAACGAAUGCUAAUACCGCAUAAAAACUUUAAACACAAGUUUUAAGUUUGAAAGAUGCAAUUGCAUCACUCAAAGAUGAUCCCGCGUUGUAUUAGCUAGUUGGUGAGGUAAAGGCUCACCAAGGCGAUGAUACAUAGCCGACCUGAGAGGGUGAUCGGCCACAUUGGGACUGAGACACGGCCCAAACUCCUACGGGAGGCAGCAGUAGGGAAUCUUCGGCAAUGGACGAAAGUCUGACCGAGCAACGCCGCGUGAGUGAAGAAGGUUUUCGGAUCGUAAAACUCUGUUGGUAGAGAAGAACGUUGGUGAGAGUGGAAAGCUCACCAAGUGACGGUAACUACCCAGAAAGGGACGGCUAACUACGU